UUUUAACACCCAUGAGACGCAAGUAACCUGACUGGUGGGAGGGCCUGUGCCCGCACCAUCGACCGACCAUGAUCUUCUGUGAAAGGUUUGAGUACGAGCAUACCUGUUGGGACCCGAAAGAUGGUGAACUAUGCCUGAGCAGGGCGAAGCCAGAGGAAACUCUGGUGGAGGCUCGUAGAUGUGCUGACGUGCAAAUCGCUUUUCGGACUUGGGUAUAGGGGCGAAAGACUAAUCGAACCAUCUAGUAGCUGGUUCCCUCCGAAGUUUCCCCCAGGAUAGCUGGAGCUCGGUCAGUUUUAUCGGGUAAAGCGAAUGAUUAGAGGUACCGGGGAUGAAACAUCCUCGACCUAUUCUCAAACUUUAAAUAGGUAAGACGUCUGGGUUGCUUAAUUGAACCCAGGCACUCAAUGAGAGCUCCAAGUGGGCCAUUUUUGGUAAGCAGAACUGGCGAUGCGGGAUGAACCGAAAGC
rnacentral:rRNA from 1 species